rnacentral:rRNA from 1 species
AGUUUGAUUCUGGCUCAGAUUGAACGCUGGCGGGAUGCUACACAUGCAAGUCGAACGGCAGCACGGACUUCGGUCUGGUGGCGAGUGGCAGUUGGGUGAGUAAUGUAUCGGAACGUGCCUAGUAGCGGGGAUAUUCGCGAAAGCGUAGCUAAUACCAUACGCCCUUCGAGGAAAGCAGGGGACCUUUGAGCCUCUUACUAUUAGAGCAACCAAUCAUCGGAUUAGCUAGUUGGUGGGGUAACGGCUCACCAAGGCGACGAUCCGUAGCUGGUUUGAGAGACGACCAACCACACUGGGACUGGGGCGGCCCGAACUCCUACGGGAGGCGGCAGUAGAAAUUUUGAACAAUGGGGAAACCUGAUCCAGCCAUCCCGCGUGUGCGAUGAAGGCCUUCGGGUUGUAAAGCACUUUUGGCAGGAAAGAAACGGCACGGGAUAAUACCCCGUGCAACUGGCAAUACCUGCCAGAAUAAGCACCAGCCAACUACGUGCCAGCAACCGCGGUAAUACGUAAGUUACCGUUAAUCGGAAUUACUGAGGCGUAAAGCGUGCCGCAGGCGGUUCGGAAGAAAGUAAAUCCGGAAACGCACUUUGGAACUGCAUUUUUAACACCGACUGAAAUUGUGUCAGGGAGGUGGAAUUCCGCGCUGAUAUUAGCGAUGAAAUGCGUAGAUAUGGAGGGCGCACCGAUGGCGAAGGCAACCUCCUGGGAUAACACUGACGCUCAUACUGCUUGUGGGGAGCAAGCAGGAUUAGAAGUACCCUGAUGAGAUCCCGCACCUAAACGAUGUCAACUGGCUGUUGGGGCCUUCGGGCCUUGGUAGCGCAGCUAACGCGUGAAGUUGACCGCCUGGGUACGGUCGCAAGAUUAAAACUCAAAGGAAUUGACGGGGACCCGCACAAGCGGUGGAUGAUGUGGAUUAAUUCGAUGCAACGCGAAAAACCUUACUGCCCUUGACAUGUCUGGAAUCCCGAAGAGAUUUGGGAGUGCUCGCAAGAGAACCGGAACACAGGUGCUGCAUGGCUGUCGUCAGCUCGUGUCGUGAGAUGUUGGGUUAAGUCCGCAGCAGGCGCAACCCUUGUCAUUAGUUGCUACGAAGGGCACUCUAAUGAGACUGCCGGUGACAAACCGGAGGAAGGUGGGGAUGACGUCAAGUCCUCAUGGCCCUUAUGGGUAGGGCUUCACACGUCAUGCAAUGGUCGGGACAGAGGGUCGCCAACCCGCGAGGGGGAGCCAAUCCCAGAAACCCGAUCGUAGUCCGGAUCGCAGUCUGCAACUCGACUGCGUGAAGUCGGAAUCGCUAGUAAUCGCGGAUCAGCAUGUCGCGGUGAAUACGUUCCCGGGUCUUGUACCACACCGCCGUCACCAUGGGGUGGUUUUACCAGAAGUAGUUAGCCCCAGCAAUAAGGAGGGCGAUUGCGGUAGGAUUCAUGACUGAGGUGAAGUCGUAACAGGUAA